UCUUUUCCACCCGUUAUUACGAUUUCUCUUUUGCUUUCUGUAUUAAUUUUCUGUAUUUUUACUAAAUUCUGCAAAGAAUAAUUUGGUUUGUUAUAAUUACUUUGAAUUGUUUUAUGCAUGUAAUUUCAUUUGUUAUAAUUAUUUUGAAUUGUCUUAUGCAUGAGUAAGAAAGCGAAAGUAAACAUAUAAUUUUAUAUACCAUAUUCAGGAUAGAUAACAGUUCUACAAAUGUCAGACAAAAGUAAUAAAAAUCAUCUGAAUUCUGAAAAAGCUCAUGCUGAUAAAAAGGCUAGACGGCGUGAAUUAUAUAAACUGGCACAAUCUAAUAAGAAAGAUGCCUAUCUAGCUGGCAGAUGGGUAAACUCAGCCAUCGACAAUAAUGCCUUCAUCGGUGCUAGCUGCAGCACCACCACAUUGUCUACACAUGAGGAAACUCUUAAUAGAGGAUGUAGUUCAACAGAAGUUAAUUACAUGGAAAUCAUCCACCCAAUAACAAAUUACGCUACCCUAAAAGAUGUUUCCCGGUGUAAAUUCUGCACUGCAAAAAGAUUUGAAUAUGAGCCAUCAGCAUUUUGUUGUGGCAAUGAUAAACUAUUUUCCGUUUUAAAAUUUAUUUUAUUGCACCAAUGAAGAAAUUAAUUGUCAUAUUUUUAGGGAGUUAAAUUCCAUGUAAAAUAAAAAAGAAAAACUCUCACGGAAGAGUCUAUUUGGAUAAGAUAUUCUAAGAAAAUUAUAUUAGUACUAAGUAGAGGUGGCCCGUGCUUGCGCGGGCCCAACAUUGAAAGAUUUUUGUUAAUUAGAUAAAAACAUAUAGAAUGUAUGAGUCGGAUAUAUAUAUAUAUAUAUAUAUAUAUAUAUAUAUAUAUAUAUAUAUAAAUAAAUAGAGAGAGAGAGAUGUAAACAGUAUCAUCAAGCUCUUGAUGCUUCUGUUGCUCGGAAUUUUCCUGAUAAUGGUUGCAUUGCUUGCAUGAGCCACAAUACUGAUGCACUUUACUGUGUAAUACUUUUUUGCAAUAUGGUUGGCAACACCAUUUUGUUUAGAUGGUGUACACUUUUGGUGCUGAUAGCAUGGACUUUGCUGCAUUGUUAUAAAAAAUUGAUAGGUGCUUUUUGAAUGAUGCUGACUAAUAGUCAAAAUGCAGCAUUAUGUAAAUAUUGUACAUAUCCAACCUAAAUAACACAGCCAUGACAACGAACAAAACAACAGCCAACCAUAUUUUAUAUAUAUAUAAUAUAUCUAUCCAUCUCUCUCUAUCUAUAUAUAUAUAUAUAUCAAUAAUAUUUUAUAAUUA